GAUGAACGCUGGCGGCGUGCUUAACACAUGCAAGUCGAACGGAAAGGCCAGUGCUUGCCCUGGUACUCGAUUGGCGAACGGGUGAGUAACACGUGGGUGAUCUGCCCUGCACUUCGUGAUAAGCCUUGGAAACUGCGUCUAAUACCGGAUAGGACAAUGUUUUGGAUGCCGUUGUAGAAAGUUUUUUCGGUGUGGGAUGAGCUCGCGGCCUAUCAGCUUGUUGGUGGGGUAAUGGCCUACCAAGGCGUCGACGGGUAGCCGGCCUGAGAGAGUGUACGGCCACACUGGGAGUGAGAGGAGGGCCAGACUCGGACGGGAAGCAGCAGGGGGGAAUAUUGCACAAUGGGAGCAAGCAUGAGGCAGCGACGCCGCGUGGGGGAUGAAGGCUUUUGGGUUGGAAAAACCUUUCGCUAGGGACGAAGCGUAUUUGUGACGGUACCUGGAGAAGAAGCACCGGCUAACUACGUG
rnacentral:rRNA from 1 species